rnacentral:rRNA from 1 species
AGAGCGAACGCUGGCGGCAGGCCUAACACAUGCAAGUCGAACGGACUCUUCGGAGUUAGUGGCGGACGGGUGAGUAACACGUGGGAACGUGCCUUUAGGUUCGGAAUAGCUCCUGGAAACGGGUGGUAAUACCGCAUACGCCCUUCGGGGGAAAGCCGGGACCAGCAAUGGCCUGGCGCUGAUAGAUGAGCCGAUGUCGGAUUAGCUAGUUGGUGAGGUAAUGGCUCACCAAGGCGACGAUCCGUAGCUGGUCUGAGAGGAUGAUCAGCCACACUGGAACUGAGACACGGUCCAGACUCCUACGGGAGGCAGCAGUGGGGAAUAUUGGACAAUGGGCGCAAGCCUGAUCCAGCCAUACCGCGUGGUGAAGAAGGCCUUCGGGUUGUAAAGCCCGUUUUGUUGGGAAAGAAAAGCAAUUCGGUUAAUACCCGGUGUUCGUGACGGUACCCGAAAGAAUAAGCACCGGCUAACUUCGUGCCAGCAGCCGAC